GCGAGGACCUGCCGCGGCUCAGAGCGGCUCCGGCGCGCUGUUUCUCUGGGCGCCAGGUAUUUCGGGGUGUGGAAUUCGUCGACCUUGUCAACAGAGCACGCGCACUGGCUGAGGGCAUGAUGUCAGAGACGACGGGAAAGUUCUGUUUGUCAUCAGAAAGAGGAGAACCGAUUGGAGAUACCUUGAGAAGGACACAAACAGCAACAUUUGGCUGCAGGGACAUUUCAACGACAAUGACCUAGGAUUGUGUUUCUUUCUCAGGACCCAGGCUGUGACGUGACAGUUACACUGCAUGCCGGACGCAUGAAAUAGGUCGUUACGGUCUGACCAGAAGAUUUGUGGUGCCAAUGUUGAUGGUGAUGACAUAAAAAAAUCUCAG